ACAUGCAAGUCGAACGGCAGCGCGGGGGCAACCCUGGCGGCGAGUGGCGAACGGGUGAGUAAUACAUCGGAACGUGUCCUGGAGUGGGGGAUAGCCCGGCGAAAGCCGGAUUAAUACCGCAUACGAUCUCUGGAUGAAAGCGGGGGACCGAAAGGCCUCGCGCUCAAGGGGCGGCCGAUGGCAGAUUAGCUAGUUGGUGGGGUAAAGGCCUACCAAGGCGACGAUCUGUAGCUGGUCUGAGAGGACGACCAGCCACACUGGGACUGAGACACGGCCCAGACUCCUACGGGAGGCAGCAGUGGGGAAUUUUGGACAAUGGGGGCAACCCUGAUCCAGCAAUGCCGCGUGUGUGAGGAAGGCCUUCGGGUUGUAAAGCACUUUUGUCCGGAAAGAAAACCUCCGUCCUAAUACGGUGGGGGGAUGACGGUACCGGAAGAAUAAGCACCGGCUAACUACGUGCCAGCAGCCGCGGUAAUACGUAGGGUGCAAGCGUUAAUCGGAAUUACUGGGCGUAAAGCGUGCGCAGGCGGUUCGCUAAGACCGAUGUGAAAUCCCCGGGCUUAACCUGGGAACUGCAUUGGUGACUGGCGGGCUAGAGUAUGGCAGAGGGGGGUAGAAUUCCACGUGUAGCAGUGAAGUGCGUAGAGAUGUGGAGGAAUACCGAUGGCGAAGGCAGCCCCCUGGGCCAAUACUGACGCUCAUGCACGAAAGCGUGGGGAGCAAACAGGAUUAGAUACCCCUGGUAGUCCACGCCCCUAAACGAUGUCAACUAGUUGUCGGGGUCUUCAUUGACUUGGGUAACGAAGCUAACGCGUGAAGUUGACCGCCUGGGG
rnacentral:rRNA from 1 species